GGAAAAACCAUCAGGAAGAAAGGCAGCAAGGCUGGGAGCUGAGAGUGAGGAUGGGCACUACCAGGAAGCUCCUGAGCUGUGUCCUUUAUUAAAACAAGGGAACAAACCAAGAAAGUGAAAGACGUAGAAAGCAGGAAAUUGGAUGGAAGACUAGAGAGUGGUGAAAAGAAAUCCUCCAGAAUGAGGACAGACAUUCACUCUGCAAACUGCACCGAGCCGCCAGGAAAGGCUGAAAACGAGAUUGCCUCACUCCGUCCCCGCCAGGACUCCGAAGACACAAAAACCAAAUUGCUGCCAGUGACAGAGUUUCAAACUGGAUACGAAUCAAAGAGGCAGAGUGAGAUUGCCUUCUGCUCAGCUCUCGGGUGUACCGUGUGUAAUUAGCUGUGCCAUGCACUCCCCCGGCUGACCCCUCAAAGCAACGAGAAAGAGGUCUUCUUCAGUCUGAGUGAUUUUAGGCCCUGGUAAAUGAUGCCUCUGUGACAGAUAACCUUUAGUCUA